rnacentral:lncRNA from 1 species
AUGUGGCAUCUUUCUAAACUCCCUCGACCGUCCGAGCUUCCAUAAUACCAUCCGGACUUCUCCGAUAAUGAGCUCCUCCAUUCAUGUACCGGGCUGCUCCAAAUACUUUUUGGGCUUCAUUAUCAGCUGACUUGCUACAGUGAUUGGCUAUCCUCUGAAUCUCCUCCAGACUUCUUCCUGCCACGAGCAACUCUACUCCGAACUUCUGUUGCAAGAGCCAGACUCCACCCGAACUUCUACAGUGGAUGGAUUCCGGAUGAACUUCUACAACGGAUGGGCUCCACCAACAGGAUCUCUACUCCAAACUUCUUUCAAACUUCGUCAAUGGCCGAGCUUCCUCAACAGCAGGACUUCUACAGCAACCAGACUCCAUCCAAAUUUCUACGACGAUCGAUCGCCUUUCGAAUUUCAUCUGGGCUCCUACAAGAGCCGAAUCCCAGUCGAACUUCUACAGUGGAUGGAUUUCAAACGAACUUCUACAACGGACAGGCUCCAUCGAUCGGGUCUCUACUCCAAGCUUUUACAAUAAAAAAUCUCCAUCCGAGCC